CUGUAUUAAUGGAACACCACAGUUGAACAAAUGGAACUAACACUAAAUAUGUGGAACAAUGAGCAUGAGCUAAUGGAACAAUUGUAUUUGAUUUUUAGAAGGAAGAAUACUUUUUCCUUUUUAAACUAGAAGGGAGAAUAUUGAAUUUUUUUAAGGAAGACUAUUGAAUGUAGUAGAUGGGAAGGAGGUGCCAAACCAAAUGGGUUAAUCUCUACUACUUAAAAUUUCUACUUCUCUAUCUCUACUAGUGAUUCUUGCAUUCAGUCCUACCGCACCUUCCAUCUCUUUUCCUCUGACAGCUGGGCCCGGGGCUCCGCGUGCCCUCCCUCUGCUCUCUCCCCCACACCCUCCCUCGUGCCCUCCUUCACAGGCAAAUCCCCACUCAUCCUCUUCCGCCGCCGCCUCCUAAACCCUAGCCCUAGAACUCUGGCCAAGCGCCCGCGGCCGCCAGAGGUCGUCGGGGUGCUAGAUCUGCCCCUUCUCACACCCGCGGUCUCCGCCGAUCGAAGCUUCCGGCGAUGUUCCCAUGCCGCCCCUGGCACCGCCGCGCCUUCUCGUCGUCGUCGCACGGCCGGUUUCCGCGCGGCCGCAGCCCAUGUCACUGCGCGUGGUGCGGUGCAUGGCGAAGGAGCGGCGGAUGCGGAUGGUAACGAAGCAGAUCCAGCGGGAGCUCGCCGAGAUGCUCACCCGCGACCCCAUCCUGCAGCACGCCGUGCUCCCCGAGGCCGCGCUCGGUGCUGACCGGUACCUCUCCUCCCUUACCACCAUCGCCGCCGCCUCACCGAGGUGCCCGCCGCCGCACGCUGUUCCGCAGCAUGGCCUCCGUUGCCGCAGCCGGCGGUUCGGCGCCAGCUUCAUCACCCGCCCCGGAGACGAGCAGCCGUGGAUUGGGCGCCGCCGCCCCAUUGCAGCAGGAGGUCUUGCACGCUUGUUACACCAAGGUGUCUCCCUCGGCCAAAGUGGACAACCCUAAGCUCGUGGCGUGGUCCGACUCCGUGGCUGACCUGCUCGAUCUGGAUCACAACGAAUGCUAGGGUGAGGGCUAAGCUCGACAGGAUCAUGGCGUCGGACUACUAUACAGCACAGUCGGAGAUGAGGGCAACAGUGGAUGUGGCUGCUGCAAUGGGGAGCUAUGGAGUUGGAGGUGUCCAGGCGCAGGAGAGCAUGGUUGUGUCGCAUGAGGCACCGGCUAUUGAGGAGAUCAUGGCUGUUGAAGGACACAAGGUGAAAUCAUAUUUGUUAUUUUGCUUUCAUUAACUUUUGGUUGACAUUCCCAAAUGAUUGUUGUUCUUUACCUUGACGUGGAUUGAUGAUUGAUCUACUGUACAAUGUCAUUAUUACUGUUGGUUGC